CCUACGGGAGGCAGCAGUGGGGAAUAUUGGACAAUGGGCGAAAGCCUGAUCCAGCCAUGCCGCGUGUGUGAAGAAGGCCUUCGGGUUGUAAAGCACUUUCAGUGGGGAAGAAAGCCUUGGGGCUAAUACCCUCGAGGAAGGACAUCACCCACAGAAGAAGCACCGGCUAACUCCGUGCACAGCAGCCGCGGUAAUACGGAGGGUGCGAGCGUUAAUCGGAAUUACUGGGCGUAAAGCGCGCGUAGGCGGUCUGAUAAGCCGGUUGUGAAAGCCCCGGGCUCAACCUGGGAACGGCAUCCGGAACUGUCAGGCUAGAGUGCAGGAGAGGAAGGUAGAAUUCCCGGUGUAGCAGUGAAAUGCGUAGAGAUCGGGAGGAAUACCAGUGGCGAAGGCGGCCUUCUGGACUGACACUGACGCUGAGGUGCGAAAGCGUGGGUAGCAAACAGGAUUAGAUACCCUGGUAGUC
rnacentral:rRNA from 1 species